UAACUGAAGAGUUUGAUCAUGGCUCAGAUUGAACGCUGGCGGCAGGCUUAACACAUGCAAGUCGAGCGGGGGAAGGUAGCUUGCUACUGGACCUAGCGGCGGACGGGUGAGUAAUGCUUAGGAAUCUGCCUAUUAGUGGGGGACAACAUCUCGAAAGGGAUGCUAAUACCGCAUACGUCCUACGGGAGAAAGCAGGGGAUCUUCGGACCUUGCGCUAAUAGAUGAGCCUAAGUCGGAUUAGCUAGUUGGUGGGGUAAAGGCCUACCAAGGCGACGAUCUGUAGCGGGUCUGAGAGGAUGAUCCGCCACACUGGGACUGAGACACCGCCCCGACACCCACGGGUGGCUGCCGUGGGGAAUAUUGGGCAAUGGGGGAACCCUGAUCCAGCCAUGCCGCGUGUGUGAAGAAGGCCUUAUGGUUGUAAAGCACUUUAAGCGAGGAGGAGGCUACUUUAGUUAAUACCUAGAGAUAGUGGACGUUACUCGCAGAAUAAGCACCGGCUAACUCUGUGCCAGCAGCCGCGGUAAUACAGAGGGUGCGAGCGUUAAUCGGAUUUACUGGGCGUAAAGCGUGCGUAGGCGGCUUAUUAAGUCGGAUGUGAAAUCCCCGAGCUUAACUUGGGAAUUGCAUUCGAUACUGGUGAGCUAGAGUAUGGGAGAGGAUGGUAGAAUUCCAGGUGUAGCGGUGAAAUGCGUAGAGAUCUGGAGGAAUACCGAUGGCGAAGGCAGCCAUCUGGCCUAAUACUGACGCUGAGGUACGAAAGCAUGGGGAGCAAACAGGAUUAGAUACCCUGGUAGUCCAUGCCGUAAACGAUGUCUACUAGCCGUUGGGGCCUUUGAGGCUUUAGUGGCGCAGCUAACGCGAUAAGUAGACCGCCUGGGGAGUACGGUCGCAAGACUAAAACUCAAAUGAAUUGACGGGGGCCCGCACAAGCGGUGGAGCAUGUGGUUUAAUUCGAUGCAACGCGAAGAACCUUACCUGGCCUUGACAUACUAGAAACUUUCCAGAGAUGGAUUGGUGCCUUCGGGAAUCUAGAUACAGGUGCUGCAUGGCUGUCGUCAGCUCGUGUCGUGAGAUGUUGGGUUAAGUCCCGCAACGAGCGCAACCCUUUUCCUUACUUGCCAGCAUUUCGGAUGGGAACUUUAAGGAUACUGCCAGUGACAAACUGGAGGAAGGCGGGGACGACGUCAAGUCAUCAUGGCCCUUACGGCCAGGGCUACACACGUGCUACAAUGGUCGGUACAAAGGGUUGCUACACAGCGAUGUGAUGCUAAUCUCAAAAAGCCGAUCGUAGUCCGGAUUGGAGUCUGCAACUCGACUCCAUGAAGUCGGAAUCGCUAGUAAUCGCGGAUCAGAAUGCCGCGGUGAAUACGUUCCCGGGCCUUGUACACACCGCCCGUCACACCAUGGGAGUUUGUUGCACCAGAAGUAGCUAGCCUAACUGCAAAGAGGGCGGUUACCACGGUGUGGCCGAUGACUGGGGUGAAGUCGUAACAAGGUAGCCGUAGGGGAACCUGCGGCUGGAUCACCUCCUUA
rnacentral:rRNA from 1 species